CAUCAUUUAGGAUCUUUAAUAACCUCUGUUCAUUCCUAGUUUCACCUUUUAUUCUGUCUACCACCUUAAACGCUUGUACUUUCAUUUUCUUACCUCCUCCUUAGAUAUUACUGUCUGCUGGCAAUCUUUCCCAUUUGCGUCUCUGAAAAUGACGUAUUCCUUAGGACUUCAAAAAGACUAACCAGUUUUUCUUCCCAAUACUGCAAGUACUCAGUAAGUAAGUAUUACCUCAAUUUCAGACAUGGAAAAAAAUACAGGCAGAAAUGAUGCCUUAGUUUGACCAUAGUCAUUAAACAAUUUGUUGCUAGAGUUUAUUUCACUUUCAGUUUAUCCAUUUCUCUUAGUCCAUUAUCCCGUUUUUCUCCCUCUGUUCUGCUGCAGAAAUACUCUCUUUUAAACCUUCCUAAAAACAUACACCAGACUCCUGCAAGUUUCUGCCCUACGUUUUUGCCUUGCACUUUUUGGAACUAGCCCCAGAAGCUCCUCACCAUGUCUGGAUCACUAGCCAGCAGCUUGCCCAGGGACUGCUCAGUCAGAAGCACAGCCUUUAGAAUUUGACGUCGCUACAUGUGGUCAUAGUGAAGAUCAAGGAAUCUUCUUUUCACCAUCUCUUGAAGACAUGGAAGGAUACAGGCUUCAGCACAUGGGAAUGAAAGCUUGCAUAACAAGAGGUCCUGUGAAAAUAGAGGAGGACCUUGUCCCUGCUUCAGGCUGUGAAGGGCAGUACUUGAAGAGUGCGAAUUAUUAACAUGUGCAUGACAUGAAGGCUCAGACAUUUCAGAGGAGAGGGAUGGGAGACACGUAUUCGUAUGCAAUAGAAUCCUUCCCUCACAUGGCACAAGCUUGAACAAAAUUGCAGCCCCCAUGCAAGCUGUGUUUGUGGAGGUGCUUGAGAGUAGAGAUGAAAACCUAUCGUGUGCUUUGUCUCUUUGAGAAGCUCCAGUUGCAUGAAGAUACUUCUAUGGAUCAACAUGAUAAUAUUUUAAAAGUAACUCUGUCUUUCUGUAGUAGCCAGAAGCACCCAUCUUUUUCAUACCACCUCCACCCCCCAAACCAUAAGCACCAUGAGACUUGCAAUGAAAUCCUGGGAAUGGCAAGGCUAGCACCAGAGGUGACCAUCAGUUUUGGAAUUUAAAUCCAGUAACUCUGUCUAUUAAACUUGUACUGGUUACAGAAUAAAUUCUCUAAUUGAAGUGCCA
rnacentral:lncRNA from 1 species